CCCUUAGAUGUUCUGGGCCGCACGCGCGCUACACUGACACACUCAACAAGCUUAUAACCUUGUCCGAGAGGUCUGGGAAAUCUUUGAAUAUGUGUCGUGAUGGGGAUAGAUCGUUGCAAUUCUCGAUCUUCAACGAGGAAUUCCUAGUAAACGCAGUUCAUCAGACUGCAUUGAUUACGUCCCUGCCCUUUGUACACACCGCCCGUCGCACCUACCGAUUGAAUGGUCCGGUGGGAAUUUUGGAUUGAUGUUUCGUCGGGUUAACGCCAGACUUUACGUUGAGAAGUUAUUCAAACCUUACCAUUUAGAGGAAGGUGAAGUCGUAACA
rnacentral:rRNA from 1 species